rnacentral:lncRNA from 1 species
AUGGCCUGUCUAUCCAUUUAUUCAUAUAUCAUCCUGCUGUUGAGAUAUCCUAAUUGACAUUAAACUUGUUUCUGAUAUAACAUUAUGAAAGUAGAAUACAAACAGUUUAAAACUGCAUAAAUCACCAUGACCAUGAUUAAAAUUCCCCCUCCUCAUUCUCUCUCUCUCUCUCUCUCUCUCUCUCUCUCUCUUGUUCUGACUCAUCCAUGCACAUAAUCUCAGGUAAAUUAAUAGAAAGAAAAUAAAAUUUAUGUGAUUAUCGUUUUGUUUUAAAAAUUGUAUGUAUUGUCAUUUUUAAUGCAUAAAUACUUUCAUAAUGAUAAAAAUCCCUAAACGCAUAAAUGGAUGCAUUUUAAGGAUAUAAGUAUGUGAGAACAGUAGACUGUUGACUUGGCAGAAACUCAAAACAGAGCCAUAGAGGAAAACAGUGAAGAAAGAUCAUUAAACUGUGAUGGAAAUAAUGAAACUAUGGGAAAAUGUGUCAAGAAAUGAUAAGGAAGGACAGCAAAUGGCAGAUGAAUUAAGAAAACAGAAGGAAGAAUUAAGGAAUACCAUUCAGGUCUGUAGAAAUAAGGAUAUGUAUUUGAAAGACAGUUGGUUUUGAGUAAAACUAAUGAUUUAAGAGGAGACUAAGAAUUGUUGUUUUUUUUUUAAAGCUUCAUUAUUUAUGUUGAACUAAAGGAUUCGAGAAAUAUCUAAGUGGGGGGAAUGCUGUCAGAUAAAAUAAACAAAUGUAUGUUUUACUUUUAUUUCUAUCCUUAAUGACACAAUGGACUCUGUAGUUUUUCAUUUUGCUUUUUGAUUUUGGAUUUAACCUGUAAAGUCAUCUUAUUUCAU